UGAGGAAUAUUGGUCAAUGGGCGAUGGCCUGAACCAGCCAAGUAGCGUGAAGGAUGACUGCCCUAUGGGUUGUAAACUUCUUUUAUAAAGGAAUAAAGUCGGGUAUGCAUACCCGUUUGCAUGUACUUUAUGAAUAAGGAUCGGCUAACUCCGUGCCAGCAGCCGCGGUAAUACGGAGGAUCCGAGCGUUAUCCGGAUUUAUUGGGUUUAAAGGGAGCGUAGAUGGAUGUUUAAGUCAGUUGUGAAAGUUUGCGGCUCAACCGUAAAAUUGCAGUUGAUACUGGAUGUCUUGAGUGCAGUUGAGGCAGGCGGAAUUCGUGGUGUAGCGGUGAAAUGCUUAGAUAUCACGAAGAACUCCGAUUGCGAAGGCAGCCUGCUAAGCUGCAACUGACAUUGAGGCUCGAAAGUGUGGGUAUCAAACAG
rnacentral:rRNA from 1 species